UAUUUUAAUGUGCUGUAUAUUUGAACUUUAGACUCUUUUUUCAAGUAGGUUCUGCCUAAGACUCAGAACCAACUUGACAAACCGGUUUGUUUUUCUCAUGCAAAUGUUCUCUUAAGCUAUGUUAAUGAAACUGUAUUUGCUUGGAAAACUGCCUUUCUUCAAGAUUCUUGUCAAUAAUUUUGUGGCCCUAGACAACUCACCUGGUUCCAAGGUUAUCUCAAAAUGCAUGUUGUGGAUGAGGGGCCUU